rnacentral:rRNA from 1 species
CAGUCGCCACGGGAAUACGUAGGGUGCAAGCGUUAAUCGGAAUUACUGGGCGUAAAGCGCGCGCAGGCGGUUCUAUAAGACAGAUGUGAAAUCCCCGGGCUCAACCUGGGAACUGCAUUUGUGACUGUAGAGCUGGAGUGCGGCAGAGGGGGAUGGAAUUCCGCGUGUAGCAGUGAAAUGCGUAGAUAUGCGGAGGAACACCGAUGGCGAAGGCAAUCCCCUGGGCCUGCACUGACGCUCAUGCACGAAAGCGUGGGGAGCAAACAGGAUUAGAUACCCGCGUAGUCCCUGUCUCUUAUAC